UGUAUCCCAAAUCACACCCUAUUCCCUAUAUACAGUAGGUCCACGUCCACGUCCCAAAUCACACCCUAUUCCCUAUAUACAGUAGGUCCACGUCCCAAAUCACACCCUAUUCCCUAUAUACAGUAGUUCCACGUCCCAAAUCACACCCUAUUCCCUAUAUACAGUAGUUCCACGGCUGUGUCCCAAAUCACACCCUAUUCCCUAUAUACAGUAGUUCCACGUCCCAAAUCACACCCUAUUCCCUAUAUACAGUAGUUCCACGUUGUGUCCCAAAUCACACCCUAUUCCCUAUAUACAGUAGUACACUACUUUUGACUAGAGCCCAUAGGGCUCUGUUUAAAAGUACUGCAAUAUGUAGGGAGAGAAGGGUGCCAUUUUAAAACAUACCCCACUUCUGUCCCAAUUCUGAGGCACAUGUUAAACAUACCCCCCCCCCUCUUCCUCCUCUCUGAAUGUUUUCUCCUUAUUAAACCCCUCUUCCUCCUCUCUGAAUGUUUUCUCCUU
ensembl:lncRNA